GAUGAAGAACGUAGCGAAAUGCGAUAAGUAAUGUGAAUUGCAGAAUUCAGUGAAUCAUCGAAUCUUUGAACGCACAUUGCGCCCGCCAGUAUUCUGGCGGGCAUGCCUGUUCGAGCGUCAUUACAACCCUCAGGCCCCCGGGCCUGGCGUUGGGGAUCGGCGGAGCCCCCCGUGGGCACACGCCGUCCCCCAAAUGCAGUGGCGGUCCCGCCGCAGCUUCCAUCGCGUAGUAGCUAACACCUCGCGACUGGAGAGCGGCGCGGCCACGCCGUAAAACACCCAACUCUUCUGAAGUUGACCUCGAAUCAGGUAGGAAUACCCGCUGAACUUAGGCAUAUCAAUAAGCGGAGGA
rnacentral:misc_RNA from 1 species